rnacentral:rRNA from 1 species
UACGUAGGGGGCAAGCGUUGUCCGGAAUCAUUGGGCGUAAAGAGCGUGUAGGCGGCCCGAUAAGUCCGCUGUGAAAGUCCAGGGCUCAACCCUGGAAUGCCGGUGGAUACUGUCGGGCUCGAAUCCGGAAGAGGUGAGUGGAAUUCCUGGUGUGGCGGUGAAAUGCGCAGAUAUCAGGAGGAACACCAAUGGCGAAGGCAGCUCACUGGGACGGUAUUGACGCUGAGACGCGAAAGCGUGGGGAGCAAACAGG